GCUAUCAGGCGUCGAGCGGCGGACGGGUGAGUAAUACUUAGGAAUCUACCUAGUAGUGGGGGAUAGCUCGGGGAAACUCGAAUUAAUACCGCAUACGACCUACGGGAGAAAGGGGGCAGUUUACUGCUCUCGCUAUUAGAUGAGCCUAAGUCGGAUUAGCUAGAUGGUGGGGUAAAGGCCUACCAUGGCGACGAUCUGUAGCUGGUCUGAGAGGAUGAUCAGCCACACCGGGACUGAGACACGGCCCGGACUCCUACGGGAGGCAGCAGUGGGGAAUAUUGGACAAUGGGGGCAACCCUGAUCCAGCCAUGCCGCGUGUGUGAAGAAGGCCUUUUGGUUGUAAAGCACUUUAAGCAGUGAAGAAGACUCCAUGGUUAAUACCCAUGGACGAUGACAUUAGCUGCAGAAUAAGCACCGGCUAACUCUGUGCCAGCAGCCGCGGUAAUACAGAGGGUGCAAGCGUUAAUCGGAAUUACUGGGCGUAAAGCGAGCGUAGGUGGCUUGAUAAGUCAGAUGUGAAAUCCCCGGGCUUAACCUGGGAACUGCAUCUGAUACUGUUAGGCUAGAAUAGGUGAGAGGAAGGUAGAAUUCCAGGUGUAGCGGUGAAAUGCGUAGAGAUCUGGAGGAAUACCGAUGGCGAAGGCAGCCUUCUGGCAUCAUAUUGACACUGAGGUUCGAAAGCGUGGGUAGCAAACAGGAUUAGAUACCCUGGUAGUCCACGCCGUAAACGAUGUCUACUAGUCGUUGGGUCCCUUGAGGACUUAGUGACG
rnacentral:rRNA from 1 species